rnacentral:rRNA from 1 species
AGAGUUUGAUCAUGGCUCAGAAUCAACGCUGGCGGCGCGCCUAACACAUGCAAGUCGCACGAGAAAGUGGAGCAAUCCAUGAGUAAAGUGGCGUACGGGUGAGUAACACGUGGAUCAUCUGCCUCUUAGUGGGGAAUAACCCUGGGAAACCGGGGCUAAUACCGCAUACGCUCGAGAGAGGAAAGCAGCAAUGCGCUGGA